GGGUAGAUUGGUCAUUUUCUCCAAAAUCCCAGCAGAGCCCUAAACUGCAAUCCCAGCAGACCUACUCAGUUCUCAUCAAUGGCGUCCCUUCUUCCUCAAUCCUCUCUCAGGCUCUGCAAUUUCCAAAUUCCCUUUUUGGGUCGUCUUCCUCUUUCAAAAUCCCAUCUGAGUUUUUCAAAUUUCAACGCAGUUCAUCUGAUUUCGCACCCAAAACCAUCCGCCAUUUGAAGAAAGAAAUCAGCUAAAAAUCACCCAAUCACCCUAGAAAAAAGAACAACAAGAAGAAGAAAGGCAGGAAAAAUGCUUUCAAAAAUCUGUUCAUUCCAAUCCCCAAAAUGGUAUGCUCAUUCCCUUCUCUCCCCAAAUUUCAAAUUCCAAAAUUCCCUUAUUGUCAGACUCUUUUCUUCUGAAAAUUCAGACGCCGAAGCUGAAGUGAAAACCAUUUUACAUAUAAUCAACACUUCCAAUUCUAAUCAAAGCAUGAGAGGAUCUUUGAAAGAAAGUGGAAUCUUCCUAUCGAACGGUUUGAUAGACCGAGUCCUGAAAAGGGUCCGGUUCAGCCAUUCGAAUCCCAUGCAAGCAUUGGAAUUCUUCUAUAUAACAGGAAAAAGAAGUGGCUUUUACCACACACCAUUUUCAUACGAUACAAUGCUAUACGUUCUCGGAAGAAGCCGGAAGUUCGACAAGGUUUGGGAAGUCCUCGUUGAAAUGCGCCGGAAAGAUCGGAAUUUGAUAACUACCCGUACUCUUCAGAUAGUUCUCGCUAGAAUUGCCAAAGUCUGCUCUGUCCGUCAGACAGUCGAGAGCUUCCGGAAGUUCCGGAAACUGUUUGUGGAAUUCGAUACUGACUGUUUCAAUGCCUUGUUGAGAACCCUCUGUCAGGAGAAAAGCAUGAGAGAUGCAAGGAAUGUGUAUCAUGAGCUGAAGCAUAAGUUCCGGCCGAAUCUACAGACAUUCAACAUACUUUUGUCAGGUUGGAAGUCAUCGGAAGAAGCGGAGCAUUUUUUCGAUGAGAUGAUGGAAUUGGGUGUUAAGCCGGAUCUUGUUUCAUACAAUUGCUUGGUCGAUGUGUAUUGCAAGAGUAGAGAGAUGGAGAAGGCAUUUACGACCAUCGAGAAGAUGAGAGACGGGGAGAUUUAUCCAGAUGUCUUCACAUAUACGAGUAUAAUUGGAGGGUUGGGAUUGGUGGGCCAGCCCGAUAAGGCGAGAGAUGUUCUCAAGGAGAUGAAGGAGCAUGGGUGCUAUCCUGAUGCUGCAGCUUACAAUGCUGUGAUAAGGAAUUUCUGUAUUGCAAAGAGGCUCGGAGAUGCUUAUCAGUUGAUGGAUGAGAUGGUGAACCGGGGCUUGGACCCAAAUCCGACGACUUAUAAUCUGUUCUUUCGGUGUUUUUACUGGUCGAACGAUCUGGGGAGUGCGUGGAGCAUGUAUAGGAGGAUGAUGGAUGCUGGGUGCUUGCCAAACACGCAGUCGUGCAUGUUUCUUAUUAGAUUGUUUCGUAGGCAGGAAAAAGUGGAAAUGGCGCUCAAGCUGUGGGGCGAUAUGGUGGAGAAGGGUUUUGGGUCAUAUACAUUGGUGUCGGAUGUGUUGUUUGAUUUCCUUUGUGAUAUGGGGAAGUUGGAUGAAGCAGAGGAAUGUUUUCUGCAGAUGUUUGAGAAAGGGCAGAAGCCGAGCAAUGUCGCUUUUAGGAGGAUCAAGGUUCUCAUGGAAUUGGCAAAGAGGCAUGAUAGCCUCAGGCAUUUGGCAGAAAAGAUGGCGGUUUUUGGGAAUUUAGCAGAAGUGGAUGGAGCGGGUGAAAUAACAGAAACGGCAUCCUACUGUCCACAAUAGUGUUGAAUUGGAUCCUGCUGUAAUUCAGUAUCGUUUGAGACAGAAAAUAGGCAUUCGUUUUUAACCAUAUUCAUUUUGAAGAGGUGUCCAAAUCAAUCAAUUUAUACACCAAGCUGACUGCUAAUGGCAGAGAUUUAUGGUUAUUAUAGCCUUGAGGCAAAUUGCCAAAGAACCCAGUUGCAAACUUAUGUUGUUUUUCAUAAGUUACUGAAGAAGGCAUUGGGAGAGGCUGGAAGAGAGGAGUUGCAUCCGAACCAAGAAAGAGAAGCAUCGAACAAAAACCAGGUGAACUUCUCGUACUUCGAAGCAGGAGAAAACAAACAGGCUCUCGCGAAACUUGUAGGUUGCAAGAGGUGGUCUAAAUAGCUGUUUAUUUGCCAAGCGGAACUGACAAUGAAAUAAAGAACAAUUGGAACAUAGACUUGUAUCUGAUAGUUGGACAGUGAAGUUUUUUUUUUUUUUCUUUAGGUGACAUGGUAUGCCUCCGCAUUUACCUCCAGAUAUAUACAGUUCAGAUAUUGUAUACAGUGUUAAAAAGCAUUUUUCAAUUGUUCGCAUCAACUUGUGGGGCAUGGAUGAUUUCAAUUGCUGAGAUUUGAUUUGUGAUGAUGGUGACGGGAAACUAGCCAUUGAUCCUUUCAAUGAUGUAAUUAGUUUUUUUUUUUUUUUUUCAUUUGGUCUGUUUGGAAUUGAAAGUGACUGAGAAUAUUAUGUUACUUAUCACAUGCAGAGAUUUGAAAUUUUCUUUUAAAAAGUUACUUAUCAAUAUGUUAUUACCAAACAUA